rnacentral:rRNA from 1 species
AUGAAGCCGGAAUCGCUAGUAAUCGCGGAUCAGAAUGCCGCGGUGAAUACGUUCCCGGGUCUUGUACACACCGCCCGUCACACCAUGGGAGUUGGAAAUGCCCGAAGUCAGUGGCCCAACCGGAAGGGGGAGCUGCCGAAGGCAGGUUCGAUGACUGGGGUGAAGUCGUAACAAGGUACC